CCAGCUCCAUGCCGUUCCCUCGGGUCCUGUCGCUGUCCCCAGAGAGCAGAGCUCAGCGCCUGCCCCUCCGCUCCCUGUGAGGGAGCUGCAGGCCGCCAUGAGGCCUCCCCUCAAGGCGUGAAGGGAGCAAGGCAAACCCGAACAGAGGCACUGCAGCUGUUGGGGCAUCGGUCGGCAUGGAAGAGCAGACUGAAGACGACCACUGGAGCCUCCACCAAGUGGUGGUGGUCUGGGGAGGAAGGUUUCUUUUGAAAGAGUCUUGUGGCUUCCUCUGGAGCAGCCAGGGCUGGCAGAAAGCUGGAGUAGAUGGAGAACAAACCGGUCUGAUGAUGCCAUUGGGGAUUCUCAGAAAUCGCUGAAGGCAAUGCUGUUACUUUGAUUAUUUGCUCCUAAGCUUGGUUUUGCUUUUCCCCUGUUGCAACUACCGCAUCUGGUUUUAUGGAAAGGAAGCAGGAAGCUUGGAAUAACAAUGUCUGAGGUUGCAGCUUGGCUUACUGCUGCUCUGCUGCCUGUUACCCCCUCCCCGAGCACAGCAACAUCCAUCCAGUGGCACUGAACUCAGUCUGCUGCCAUUUCCUAUCUUUCAGGAUGCUUUGUAGCUCAGUUAUGGCUUCUCUUCUCCUGCAAUGGUAUCAUGAAAGGUUAAUAAAAGCAGUAAAAACACAGCUAAGGCAGGAAGAAAUCUCAGGGGAAUAAACCAGUGUCUGAAUUAAUUCCUGCUACAGGCAGAAAGCUUUGCGGUACCUUCAGAGACUGCUUGCUUGAGUCCAAAGGAAAGGGACCAUAAAAAGGUUUUGUUUCAGUGCAGAAGUUCUCAGAGUGCUUAGAAGCUUUAUGAAACAUCUCACCUUAAACGCUGGCAUGGGUACAUUUGCUGGAACUAGUGCAUGGGAGAUGGGGGACCUGCAGGAGGCACGAAGCAGGCCGCAUUGUCCUCCUGGUGGAGCAGCAGUCAGAAGAGCAGCCAGAUCCUGCUUCCACAGAAGCCAUCAAAUAGCACUAAGAAUCUGAGCACCGAAACGCGCUGCCCAGGCUACUUCAGAGUGGGAAAAUGUACCAGGGCAAGUCUCUGGAAGAGGUCCUGGCUGUGGUGCUGCAAGCACCAGGGCACGGGGGGCGUCUGGCAGUGCAGGAGCUGUCCUCAACAGAUGGGAAAAGUGAGCAGGGCAGCCUGACCUAGGCAGCAAGGUACAAGGCAUCAGGAUCAAAUCCCCAGCGUAACAAGAUUUGAAUUUACGAAUUUUGCUGCAUUCUUUCUGAGGUACAGAGUGGAAUAAACGUGGAUCCAGCUUUUUGUUACCCCGAAUGUUGUGUGAGGCAAAGCGAUUAAUGCUAUAAGGGAACUUUCACAUGAGCAGAGCCCUGAAAUUCGUUUUUUUUUUCUUAGUUAAAUACAGUUAGGUGUCCUUUCCCUUCUGUUGACAGGUAGUUAAGAAAGGAAAACAGUGAAGAGGAAAACCUGCUCCAGAAACAUGUAGGACCUGAGGGUAGCAUAGAAGGAGCUAGGAAGGAGGGUGCAGACAGAGCCUUCACUAAGCCGGGGUGGAGAAAAUGAACCCCCUCAGCUGCUACCCAUUUGCAGUAAUGAGAUCUACAGCCAGUUUGUGACUUGAGGGGGAGUUACAGCACAGCAGGUGGGGCUGGUUUUGUAUAACGCAUUGGUUUUUCUUUUUAUUUUCCGCCUACUUCUGCGUUUCUUCCUGCAGUAGGGUUUCAAGCAAAAUUUUGCAGUGCAUAAAGAUAUGGAAUAGAAAUUUGGCCCCAUGUGGGAAACGCACAAUGUUUCUGCUCCCUCUGAGGCAGAGGGGAAGAAAGAGCAGCAGGACUUGCCUGUGAGCUUUGCCGCAGGAGCCUGAAUGGCCUGUGAGAGGCGAAGCUUCUUGACUGACCAAAUGUCAUAUGCAAAGCUCUGGAAUAAUUGCAGCAUGUGCUGUUACCUCUGGUGGUAUAGCAGAGUAUGUGAUGGGAAGAGCUAAAAAUACCCCUCUGAGGAGGGAGGGAAGUGGUGAAAGUCUACAUCUGCAGAUUGGAAGACAACCAGACAAAAGGAACACAUGAGCGAGUGCAUGCACACGUGUAUGCACACAGAAACAUGUACCCUUGGAAGACCCCACUAAGUGAAAUUUCAACAAAAGGUUGAGUUCUCUUACAGAAAGAGUUUAUUUUGAUAAAAUCAAGAUGGUUCAUUUAAAUUUCAAUAUUAAGUUAAAUAUGAUAAGAAGUAAAAAGACUUGAAACAAAAA